rnacentral:rRNA from 1 species
CCUACGGGUGGCUGCAGUGAGGAAUAUUGGUCAAUGGGCGCAAGCCUGAACCAGCCAAGUCGCGUGCAGGAUGACGGCCCUACGGGUUGUAAACUGCUUUUAUACGGGAAUAACGCGCCUUUCGUGUAGUGCUUUGCAUGUACCGCAUGAAUAAGGCCUGGCUUAUUCCGUGCCAGCAACCGCGGGAAUUCGGAAGGACCGGGCGUUAUUCGGAUUUAUUGGGGUUUAAGGGAUGGGAGGCCGCAUUGCAAGCGUGCUGUUAAAUGUCCGGGGUCAACCCGGGCCUUGCCGCGCGAACUGGCGUGCUUGAGUCGGCGGGAAGCAUGCGGAAUUCGUGGUGUAGCGGUGAAAUGCUUAGAUAGGACGAAGAACCCCGAUUGCGAAGGCAGCCUGCCGGGGUGCGACUGACGCUGAGGCACGAAGGUGCGGGUAUCGAACAGGAUUAGAUACCCGAGUAGUC